rnacentral:rRNA from 1 species
GACGUAGGGCGCGAGCGUUGUCCGGAUUCAUUGGGCGUAAAGGGUGCGAUAGGCGGCGCGGUAAGUCGGGUGUGAAAUCUCGGAGCUUAACUCCGAAACUGCAUUCGAUACUGCCGUGCUUGAGGACUGGAGAGGAGACUGGAAUUUACGGUGUAGCGGUGAAAUGCGUAGAUAUCAGGAGGAACACCGGUGGCGAAGGCGGGUCUCUGGGCCGAUACUGACGCUGAGGAGCGAAAGCGUGGGGAGCAAACAGG